rnacentral:rRNA from 1 species
UACGUAGGCAGCGAGCGUUGUUCGGAAUUACUGGGCGUAAAGAGUGUGUAGGCGGUGCUCUAAGUUCGGUGUGAAAUCUCCCGCUUAACUGGGAGGGUGCGCCGGAAACUGGAGUGCUCGAGCGUGGGAGAGGAAAGCGGAAUUCCUGGUGUAGCGGUGAAAUGCGUAGAUAUCAGGAGGAAACGCCUGCGGUGUAGACGGCUUUCUGGACCAUUGCUGACGCUGAGACACGAAAGCGUGGGUAGCAAACAGG